rnacentral:rRNA from 1 species
AUACGGAGGGUGCGAGCGUUAAUCGGAAUUACUGGGCGUAAAGCGUACGCAGGCGGUUUGUUAAGCGAGAUGUGAAAGCCCCGGGCUCAACCUGGGAACUGCAUUUCGAACUGGCAAACUAGAGUGUGAUAGAGGGUGGUAGAAUUUCAGGUGUAGCGGUGAAAUGCGUAGAGAUCUGAAGGAAUACCGAUGGCGAAGGCAGCCACCUGGGUCAACACUGACGCUCAUGUACGAAAGCGUGGGGAGCAAACAGGAUUAGAUACCCUGGUAGUCCACGCCGUAAACGAUGUCUACUAGAAGCUCGGAGCCUCGGCUCUGUUUUUCAAAGCUAACGCAUUAAGUAGACCGCCUGGGGAGUACGGCCGCAAGGUUAAAACUCAAAUGAAUUGACGGGGGCCCGCACAAGCGGUGGAGCAUGUGGUUUAAUUCGAUGCAACGCGAAGAACCUUACCUACACUUGACAUACAGAGAACUUACCAGAGAUGGUUUGGUGCCUUCGGGAACUCUGAUACAGGU